CCUUCCCUGUAAAAAAAAAAAAAAAAAAAAAAAAAAGAGGGAGAGAGGAAAAAAAAAAAAAAGGGAAAAAAAUAGGGCGAGCGAGCACAAUCUGAUCUGAUCAAGCACUUUCAGCUUCAUCCCUCCUGGGUCACAUACUGCUUCUCCACCAAGGUGAUCAAAGAAGAGAAACAUCUGCAAAAGAGCGGAAGAUACCGAGGGGAUCUCACUUCGUAGAGAUUUUUUUUCCCUGAGUUUAUUUGUUUUCUUUCUUUUUUUUUUUGUUUCCUUUUUUAUUACAUUCUCCUUUUUUUUUUUUCCUCCUUUAUUUUUAUUUUUUUAUUUUUGUUUUUGGAACCGGCCGCUCAUCACCUCAACCCCCCGUCCCUCCGAUU